GAUGAACGCUGGCGGCGUGCUUAACACAUGCAAGUCGAACGAACCUUCGGGUUAGUGGCGGACGGGUGAGUAACGCGUGAGAAUCUGCCCUCAGGAGGGGGAUAACGGCUGGAAACGGCCGCUAAUACCCCAUAUGCCGAGAGGUGAAAUGAAUUUCGCCUGAGGAUGAGCUCGCGUCUGAUUAGCUAGUUGGUGUGGUAAAGGCUCACCAAGGCAUCGAUCAGUAGCUGGUCUGAGAGGAUGAUCAGCCACACUGGGACUGAGACACGGCCCAGACUCCUACGGGAGGCAGCAGUGGGGAAUUUUCCGCAAUGGGCGCAAGCCUGACGGAGCAACGCCGCGUGAGGGAUGAAGGCCUCUGGGCUGUAAACCUCUUUUAUCAAGGAAGAAGAUCUGACGGU
rnacentral:rRNA from 1 species